rnacentral:misc_RNA from 1 species
AACGCACAUUGCGCCCACUAGUAUUCUAAUGGGCAUGCCUGUUCGAGCGUCAUUUCAACUCUCAAGUGCUAGUUGCUUGGUGUUGGGCCUCUGCGAGUUAAAGCCCGCAGGUCCCGAAAGUCAGUGGCGGGCGCGCCGCGAUCCCGAGCGUAGUAGUUUACUGUUCUCGCUUAGGGCAUCCAGCGCUGUUCUCCAGCCGUAAAAACAGCUCAGUGGAGCUUAUCAUAAGGUUGACCUCGGAUCAGGUAGGAAUACCCGCUGAACUUAA